rnacentral:lncRNA from 1 species
GUCCAGGGCUCCCUGAGGGAGGCCAGCACAAGAGCUCUGCCAUAAAAGGACAUUGGACAGAAGUGAAGAGUCCAAUCAGAAACUCUUUUUGAGAGACUGAACGCAAAGCAUUCAGAGAGUCAGCAGGCUGGAGAGGCCAAGACACACACACGAAGAAGGCAGGACACUCUUCUCCUCCUGCGGUUGGACUCCAGGCUCUAUGACCUUCAAACUCCAGGACUUACACCAGUUGCCCCUGGGCACUCAGGACUUCUGCUUCAGACUGACAGUUGCAGGACAGUGCAGCAUUUUAUUUUAAAGAUACCCCACAACGUAGGUGGCCAGUCCUGCUGCAGGGCAGAUACGCUCCCUUGAUUCUGAGGUCUUUGAACUUGCUGUGAAGCCACACUACCUGCGUCCCAGGGUCUCCAGCUUGCAGAUGGACUGUGGUGGGACUUCUCAGUCACCAAGAUUGAGAGCUGUACUAGCCUGGCAUGCAGACAGCAGCUUUAGAAUCAGAUCUGCCUUCUGGCGGCUUCCCACCUAGGAGCCAUGGGACCUUUGUGAAGUCACCAAUUGUGCUGUGGAUGCUUCAUUUGUGAAGGAGAACAGGACUGCCUUGUGAAAUUACGGAUGGUGCUACUAAAACAUAUCAAUAAUUUGAAUUUCACUUUUGUGGAUGCUUUAAACAUCAUAGUCAUUAGAAGGUGGAUCUGGCUGAUUGUACUUUAAGUUUUCAGUUUGAGCUGGAGCUUUGUAUUAUAACAGGAGGGUACUGGACAAGAUGAGGAAACUGAGGUACAGAUGGGAAACUUGCUCAAGUUCACACAGCAAUUAAGUGAUCAAGUCCAAGAGCAAAACCAGGCAGGCUGGCUCCAGAGCUCACGAUAGUCCACCACUGCUUUCCACCAUCACUACGGAAUCAAGUCCAUGAGGAUACUCACCUUAUGUCAGUUGCCUAAGUUGGAAAUUAUAGAAUCUUCAAAUUGGAAGGGACGUUAUCAUCCAAGAUUUCAACUUUCUACUCACUGCAAAAUCCCUUCUGGAACUUCCCAGAUUGAUGAAUUUUCAUCAGCUCUGCUUGAGUACUCCCAGUGACUUGGAAAAAAAACACUGUAAUAUGGAUAUGAAAUAUAAACUGUUCAUGGAUAAAUUAUUGCAUAAUAAAAACAUGCCUAAUGGCUACACUCCCCUAA